rnacentral:rRNA from 1 species
UACAGAGGUCUCAAGCGUUGUUCGGAUUCAUUGGGCGUAAAGGGUGCGUAGGCGGGCCCGUCAGUCAGGGGUGAAAUCCCACGGCCCAACCGUGGAAGUGCCUCUGAUACUGCGGGCCUGGAGGGGAUAGGGCGUGCGGAACUUCCGGUGGAGCGGUGAAAUGCGUAGAUAUCGGAAGGAACACCGGUGGCGAAAGCGGCGCGCUGGAUCCCUACUGACGCUGAGGCACGAAAGCCA